AAAACAUUGGUACUUGCGUACCGUGCUAAAAAUUUAGCAGCACUUAAAUGGCUCUUACCUUGUAGUUUGGCUUUCUUGAAGAAAAUUGUACUUUCUUGAUUCUUGUUGUUGUGGGUUUGUACCCACAACAAUAUCUGCUAUCAAAUCUGCUUGGAAUCUGCCAGGAUAUGGAAUGUCAUGAGAACUAGCGAAUAAUGAAACUCCUGUUGGGCAACCUGCAAAACAACACACCAGCUCUGAUCAGAGAUAAGACGAUAAACCGGUAUUUUGUACACACCUUCUCUGAUUUCCCCAUUCAGUCCAGCGAGGUGCACUUCUUUAUAAAACACCCAACAUACUUAAAUGCUCUGCAGGAGGACUCCUCUCAGCAAAGACCUUUCUUUCUGUUUUCCUUGAAGAGACAUAAGCAUAAAUUCUUCCUUGUUGUCACUGAGAGUCCGAGGUUGUAGUUUGACAUCUCAACCAUUUUAAGAUGUGGUUGUGCAUUUUGAUCGGCCUUAACUUCAUCACCAUGGUGCUCGGGUUUGCAAGUCGUCCCUUCCCACAGUCAUGUGGGUCAAUGUUACCCGAGCAUGUGGACAGAGGGACACUAGUUUCUCCUCAGACCACUGAACCACCCUUUGAGAUACAGUACGAACAAGGCAACAAUGACGAGCCAAUUACAGUUAUUCUUAAAAGCAAGCAAUCCACACAAUUCCGGGGAUUUAUGUUGGAGGCCCGGGAGAGAGGGAAGGUGGACGAAGGAGUGCCUGUUGGCAAAUUUAUAAUACUUGAACCGAGUAAGACUGCACUCAUGACAUGCAAUGGGUCAGCAAACUCGUCUGUUACUCAAGUAAACAAUCAAAGACAGAGUUUGAUCAAAGUUAACUGGACAGCGCAGGGAGCUGAUCUUGACAUCGCUUUCAGAGCCACAUUUGUUCAGUCUUUUGAAACAUUCUGGGACCAAGUGGAUGUGAAUGUCACUUUUGCAAGUAGUGAGUCGAGUACUCCACAGCCAAGUCCUGCUACAAGUACCACAGAGUCAACUACUGGAACAAUUACUACAAGUACCACAGAGUCAACUACUGGAACAAUUACUACAAGCACCACAGAGUCAACUACUGGAACAAUUACUACAAGCACCACAGAGUCAACUACUGGAACAAUUACUACAAGUACCACAGAGUCAACUACUGGAACAAUUACUACAAAGAUGACUACUACAACAAAUAAUGAUGCAGGCUCUCAACACUCACUGACUCGUGAGGCACGUAUGAGCUGUUUAAGUCUUAACCUUACAAGCAUUAACAUCCAGUGCAACAAGCAGAUUUCUGUUCCAAAACAGCUCAUUGUUCCUCUUUUUUCUCCAGGAAGGAUGUAUUAUGUUGAUCUGCACCAACUGUUUGGUUGAGAUAUUGAUAAUGAUGGUCACCCUCCUCGACUACAUCUGACUUGCUAUAGAUAAGGUGUGUCUGGCUCCACGAGUGGAUGAGUGACUGAGUGGGUAGGUGUGUUUCCAGGGAGCUGAUUGGUUCCAGCCUCCAAGCUUGAAGGAUAAGAGGACGGCUUCCCCCAGCUCCUGCGGUCUCUCCUUUUGCCACUGCCAGCCAGACCUGCAGCCGGAAUCACCUUGUGAAGCGUUGUAAAAACUGUUCUUUGUGUACCAGCCCGGUUUUGGUAGGGGUGGGUAGCAUUUUUAUUUAAGCCAUGUUUUCUCCUCUUUUUGGUUGAGGAGUUAGGUCAGUACCAUGUCUUUUUGUUUCUUUAAUUUGAGUAGGGAAGUUUAGGUUGUUUGCCUUAGGCUUGUUUUCGUUUAUUGUUUUGCUGUUAGCCCACCCUGAAGCAAAAGAGUUAAUAAACAUAAACGGGCUGUAAAUUGUUUGUUGCUGGUUCUUCUUGGGAGCUGGGAAAGGGGGAUACUCAUGUAUCAUGUUGCGACUGGGUUUUCUCCUGGGCGGGGUUGUAACAAUUACAAUAAAGAAGUAUUGUAAACCAACAUGCUAUAGGCAUUUUAAUGCUCAGUAUCCUGUGCUUGUGUAUCUGUACCAUUACAAACAGAAAAUAAAUGAGCACUAAUAAUUGA